GCUUGUCUCAAAGAUUAAGCCAUGCAUGUCUAAGUGUAAAUAAGUCUAUACUGUGAAACUGCGAAUGGCUCAUUAAAUCAGUUAUCGUUUAUUUGAUGAUCUCUUACUACUUGGAUAACCGUAGUAAUUCUAGAGCUAAUACAUGCACAAAAUCCCGACUUACGAAGGGAUGUAUUUAUUAGAUAAGAAACCUUCCCCUUUGGGUUGCGUGCCGAGUCACAAUAACUGCUCGAAUCGCAUGGCUUCACGCCGGCGAUGGUUCAUUCAAAUUUCUGCCCUAUCAGCUUUCGAUGGUAGGAUCGAGGCCUACCAUGGCGUUUACGGGUAACGGAGAAUUAGGGUUCGAUUCCGGAGAGGGAGCCUGAGAGAUGGCUACCACAUCCAAGGAAGGCAGCAGG
rnacentral:rRNA from 1 species